rnacentral:rRNA from 1 species
CGAACCGCUGGCGGCAGGCCUAACACAUGCAAGUCGAGCGGGCAUCCUUCGGGAUGUUAGCGGCGGACGGGUGAGUAACGCGUGGGAACGUUGCCCUUUGCUACGGAAUAGCCUCGGGAAACUGAGAGUAAUACCGUAUGUGCCCUUCGGGGAAAGAUUUAUCGGCAAAGGAUCGGCCCGCGUUGGAUUAGGUAGUUGGUAGGGUAAUGGCCUACCAAGCCGACGAUCCAUAGCUGGUUUGAGAGGAUGAUCAGCCACACUGGGACUGA